UGGUAAGAGUUUGGUUUGUUAAUGUUUUUGAAUGAAUUUUCGGAUUUUUUGUGUGCUUACAGGUGUUUUUUGCGAAGUGAUAACUUUUUAAGAGAAAAAAAUGAUUCCCGUACGACCUUCUGUAACAGAUAAUCCAUUGGCGUUAUCAUGGCACGACAGUGCUUGGAUACCAAUACUAAAUCCAACAAAUAUAAUGGAUUAUUUUGCAGAAAGAACAAAUCCUUUCUACGAUCGUACUUGCAAUAAUGAAACUAUUAAAAUGCAGCGUCUUGGACCAGAGCAUUUAAAAAGUUUGACUGGAAUUGAAUAUAUGCUUUUACACGUUCAGGAACCAAUUUUAUACGUAAUCAGGAAGCAACAUCGUCACGGUCCAGGUCCGAGUGAGGCUACACCAUUAGCAGAUUAUUAUAUUAUUGCUGGUGUUGUUUAUCAGGCUCCGGAUUUAGCAUCAGUUAUUAAUUCCAGACUGUUAUCAACCGUCCAUCAUUUGCAAUCUUCAUUCGAUGAAGUCAGCUCCUGUUCAAGAUACCAUCCUAAUAAAGGAUACUCCUGGGAUUUUAAAAACGGAAAACCAGUUACAGCCAAAAAGGAAACGGUCGUGAGGGAAGAGCCCAGUUCGAUAUUUCAGCGCCAGAGAGUCGAUAUGUUAUUGGCUGAAUUGACACGGAAGUUUCCGAUUCCCGUGCCAAAACCAGUUCAACCUGCUGCCGAACCUGCUGUCGAAAUUAAACAAGAACCGAAGACGGAAAAUAAAAAGGACAUGAAACCACCACCAGAGAAGAAACCGAGGGUCAGUUAGUGAAUAGUGACUUUAAAUGAACAAUUAAUGCAACAGAGUCUCUGUUUAUGAUAUUGACCGAAGGAAGAACUCGAAAGCCUCGACAAAAAAAAAAUUUUCUGUGUCUGAUAACUUCAUUAACUGAAGCAGCAUUAUGCUUACUUCAUCAUCAUACAUUUUUAUUACAAAGUACAAUAAUAUAGAAAGUUAAAAUAGUCAUAAGAUAGGGCUUAAUUAAGUUUUACAGAAGCAGAAACAUGCAGUGUAAAAAAAAAUAGAUACCUGAAUGCUUUUCGGAAUCUCUGAGUAGAAUAUCCUCAAGAAGGGUUGGAUCGCUUCGGCCUUUUGCGUUGAUUGCAUAGACCCUCAGAUAAAAAUGUGUAGCGGGUAAAAGGUCCCCGACAGGUAUUCUAAAUAUCGGCACUUCUGCCGAAAUACUUGACGAAUUAAAGCGCAUUUUUCCACUCGCAAA